UUUGAGAGAAAGGAGGGUCAGUGCAGAUGUCCUCACCGUAAGCAGUGGGAGCAUGGUGGAGCUCUUCGAUCCAUCAGUUCAUCUCCCAGAAUCUUUGAUCCAGGAGGUCCUCUCGACUGCGAGUCUUGAGGAUCUUCUUGUGGAACAGAGGUAGGGACUCUCCGGGGGUGGAAUCGUGAUCGGAUGGUGGGCUCUCCACCUUUUGCUUCUCCUUUCUGGGGAAGACAGGGUGACUUGCCCAAGUGGCCCGCCCAGUCGUCAGAUUUUGGAACUCCGACGAUGCUCUUUCCAGCCGCACUGAUGCCUGCGGCUGCAUGGCCUGCACUGCUUCGGUGAGACCCCUGACCUGCUAAACCAGUAAGUCAAACUACUCCAUGCCGACUGCCGUUGUCGGAGGAGGAGAAGCCUGAAAAAUUGGAGAUAAGAUCGGAGCUUGCGGAGCUCGCUGAGAUCUAGCCGCGGAGGUCAUGGAUCGUCUGGUGGAUGCCUUUCGGGGAGGCAUCAGGUGGAGAUCUGGCA
rnacentral:lncRNA from 1 species